GACGAACGCUGGCGGCGUGCUUAACACAUGCAAGUCGAACGGAAAGGCCCUGCUUUUGUGGGGUGCUCGAGUGGCGAACGGGUGAGUAACACGUGAGUAACCUGCCCUUGACUUUGGGAUAACUUCAGGAAACUGGGGCUAAUACCGGAUAGGAGCUCCUGCUGCAUGGUGGGGGUUGGAAAGUUUCGGCGGUUGGGGAUGGACUCGCGGCUUAUCAGCUUGUUGGUGGGGUAGUGGCUUACCAAGGCUUUGACGGGUAGCCGGCCUGGGAGGGUGACCGGCCACAUUGGGACUGAGAUACGGCCCAGACUCAUACGGGAGGCAGGAGUGGGGAAUAUUGCACAAUGGGCGGAAGCCGGAUGCAGCAACGCCGCGUGCGGGAUGACGGCCUUCGGGUGGUAAACCGCUUUCGCCUGUGACGAAGCGUGAGUGACGGUAAUGGGUAAAGAAGCACCGGCUAACUACGU
rnacentral:rRNA from 1 species